rfam:Rattus norvegicus chromosome 1, whole genome shotgun sequence.
CCUGCAGAACGAGGUGGAGGAGGUGGUUCUGCUCAGCAGUUAGCAGUGGCCACAUCUCCACCUGCAGCUUCUUGAUGCCUUCAGUAUCCUUUUCGUGGG